rnacentral:rRNA from 1 species
AUACGUAGGUGGCAAGCGUUGUCCGGAAUUAUUGGGCGUAAAGCGCAUGUAGGCGGUAAUUUAAGUCUGUCGUGAAAAUGCGGGGCUCAGCCCCGUAUGGCGAUGGAAACUGGGUUACUUGAGUGCAGGAGAGGAAAGGGGAACUCCCAGUGUAGCGGGGAAAUGCGUAGAUAUUGGGAAGAACACCGGUGGCGAAGGCGCCUUUCUGGACUGUGUCUUACGCUGAGAUGCGAAAGCCAGGGUAGCGAACGGGAUUAGAUACCCCGGUAGUCCUGGCUGUAAACGAUGGGUACUAGGUGUGGGAGGUAUCGACCCCUUCCGUGCCGGAGUUAACGCAAUAAGUACCCCGCCUGGGGAGUACGGCCGCAAGGCUUAAACUCAAAGGAAUUGACGGGG